GCCAAAACUCUAGCCUCACAAAUAACCAUAAACCUCACUAACUUAUUUUACAUUUUAAAACAUUUUCUUAACUAAGUAAAGGCGAUAGAAAAAUUUCUCAGAGCAAUAUAAAUAGUACCGUAAGGGAACGAUGAAAUAAAAAUGAAAUAACUAUAAAGCAUUAAAAAGUAGAGCUUUUCCCUUGUACCUUUUGCAUCAUGGUUUAACUAGUACUCUUAGGCAAAAAGACUUUUAGUCUAACCCCCCGAACCUAGGCGAGCUACUAUAAGACAACUUUUAGAGCCAACCCGUCUCUGUUGCAAAAGAGUGGGAAGAUCUUAUAAUAGCGGUGACAUACCAAACGAGCCUAAUAAUAGCUGGUUGCUUUUUAAAAGGAUUUUAGUCCAACUUAAAGUUAUAUCUAUCUAUUGUAAAUUAAACUUUAAAGUAACUCAAAUAAGGUUCAGCCUAUUUGAAAAAGGAUACAACCUCUCCUACUGGGUUAUAAUGCACGACAAAAACAAAGUGGGCUUAAGAGCAGCCACCUCAAAAAGCGUCAUAGCUUAGUCUAAUAAUUUGCACAAUUCCAAAAACCUUCCUCAACCCUUCACCCCCAAAAAGCAAUUCUAUACACUUAUAGAAGAUUUUAUGUUAAAACUAGUAACAAGAAGUAGCCCUUCUCUUAAAUGUGUCUGUACAUCAACACGGACCCUCCAUUGAUAAUUAACGCCUAUAAACUCAUAGUAUUCUCCUUCCACCCGAAAACCCUACUAUCACUAACGUUAACCUAACACAAGAACAUUAAAAGAAAGAUUAAAAGAUAAAGAAGGAACUCGGCAAACAUUAGUCUCGCCUGUUUACCAAAAACAUCGCCUCUUGAUUAGCCAUAAGAGGUCAAGCCUGCCCAGUGACAUUGUUCAACGGCCGCGGAAUUCUAACCGUGCGAAGGUAGCGUAAUCACUUGUUUUUUAAAUGAGGACUAGUAUGAACGGCUUCACGAAUGCUAUACUGUCUCCUUUAUCCCAUCAGUUAAACUAAUCUCCCCGUGAAGAAGCGGGGAUUCACCUAUAAGACGAGAAGACCCUAUGGAGCUUUAAACACUCUUAAACAUUUGAUCCUUUACUCACCACUUUCAGAAAACUCACUAAACCCAUCACUUUGUUUAAACUUUUAGGUUGGGGUGACCACGGAGAAUAACUUAACCUCCACGUGGAAAGAAACUUACUUCUAAGCAAAAAGCUACAUCUUUAUGUAUCAAAAUAUUGACCUAAAUUGACCCAAUUAUUUGAUCAACGAACCAAGUUACCCUAGGGAUAACAGCGCAAUCCGCUUUAAGAGCUCCUAUCGACAAGCGGGCUUACGACCUCGAUGUUGGAUCAGGACAUCCCAGUGGUGCAGCAACUACUAACGGUUCGUUUGUUCAACGAUUAAAGCCCUACGUGAUCUGAGUUCAGACCGGAGUAAUCCAGGUCAGUUUCUAUCUAUAAAGAGUUUCUUCUAGUACGAAAGGGACGAAAAAACAUGGCCAAUGCCCCAAUUUUAAGCCAUAGUCACAAAAUUUAUGUUUCAAACUUAAUAGCCAAAUGCUCUAAUACCAACUUUAAGACCAAAAUUUUAA
rnacentral:rRNA from 1 species